CGCGAGCUGGGUUCAGAACGUCGUGAGACAGUUCGGUCCCUAUCCGUCGUGGGCGUAGGAAAUUUGAGAGGAGCUGUCCUUAGUACGAGAGGACCGGGAUGGACAUACCUCUGGUGUACCAGUUGUCGUGCCAACGGCAUAGCUGGGUAGCUAUGUGUGGACGGGAUAAGUGCUGAAAGCAUCUAAGCAUGAAGCCCCCCUCAAGAUGAGAUUUCCCAACUUCGGUUAUAAGAUCCCUCAAAGAUGAUGAGGUUAAUAGGUUCGAGGUGGAAGCAUGGUGACAUGUGGAGCUGACGAAUACUAAUCGAUCGAAGACUUAAUCAAAUU
rnacentral:rRNA from 1 species